AGAGGGGGCGUGGCUCAGAGCGGGGCGGCGCCAGGUCCGGAGAGUCAGGGGCCUCAUGAGGCCGGGUGUUCGCCUCAGGAUGCGAGCGGCCGGAGAGGAGCGCGAGGUAGAGGAGGUGCGGCUUCAGGCAAGUGAAGGAAAAGGGCAGGUCGCCAGCCGCGACGCGUUCUCAGCUUCCCGGCCCAGGUUUCCAAAUGUUUCUUUAAAGACUGACACCCCUAAGAGACCAAACAGACCUACAUUUUAACAAAGAUAAGAAGAUGGAGCAUAAUCAUUUUCUUCACUUGAUGUACAAAGUUAGAGCUAAAGAAGCCAGCAACCUGGAUACACAAAUGGGCACAAAAAAAGAGCCCCAACAAAAGCUUGCUCCCUCUAGUCAGCGAAGUAUGAAGACUUCAUGGUAGGAGAACUUGUUUCUAGACUGGCUCUGCCAUUAACAAAUUGCAACUUGGUAGAUACUCUCUCCAGCUCUUCAUUAUCAGCCAAUAGCUAAGUCCAGCAUUAUGAUUCCAAGUUGGAUGAAGAAAGGAGUUGUGUUUAAAGCAGUUUACUUUUAUUGCUUAAAAUAGAAAUAAUUGCA